rnacentral:lncRNA from 1 species
GUGCUUCUAACGGACCGGCUACCAAUAGGAGGCUCACACGCUAGAGCAGCUCACAGAACUCAGGAAAAUAGUCUCCCUACUAGAUUACUGCUCUCUUAUGAAGGAGGCGGAAGGAGACAAAUGAACAGCCAGAGAAAGAGAUACACACGGCAAGGUCUGGAAGGGGCCUGAGCACAGGAGCUGCUGUCCCGUGGAGUCCGGGGGUGCCAGCCUUCCAGCCCACGGCUGUGUCCUUGUUCACCGCCCCCGAGGCUCAGAACCCUGUCCUUUGGGAGUUUCACGGAGGCUUCAUUACGUAGGCGUGAUUGAUUAAAUCAUCAGCCAUUGGUGACUGAUUCGACCCCCAGCCCCUCUCCCGUCUCCUGACCUGGCGUGGAGGGGAGGUCGGGGGUGGGGGCUGAGAGGUCCAACACUCUAGUCGGCUGGUCGGUUCCCCUGGAACCAGCCCCCAUACUUAGGGGCUUUCCAAAAGGCCCUCAUUAACAUAAACUCAGCUGUGGUUGAAAGGGGCUUGUUAAAAAUAACAAAAGACACCUUUAUCCUCUUACCACUUAGGAAAUUCCAAGGGUUUUAGGAGGUGCCGGAACACAACAAAGACCAAAUGAAAUGGGAACUCCUGACAUUUUGGUGGAAGGCAGGAGCAGAGGCUAUAACGAGAAAGACAAUUCUAGAAAGCAAAUGCGGGGGACCCUUUCACCUUGGGGAGAAGCAGCAUUCCUUCACUCACCGAGUCAGCGGAUGUUCUGGAAACAAGAAAUGCUGAGCCAGCCCGGAGCCCACAGGCUCUGGGAGGAGAUCGGAAGGCAGGAACCGGGCAGGGAGAUUUGCCAGAGAGCCACUGCCCCACGGUGGACUCACAGGAGUCGGCCAGGAGGAGAAUGGCCUCCGGGGUUGCUGCCAUAGCUUGGAGCAGGGAGGUCGAGGCCCAGCCUGGGUCCUGGAAGGCCAAGGGCAGCACACGGAGGAGUCCAGGCCUCGCCUGCGCCAGUUGGACCUGGAGGCCUGAGAAAGCCCUGCUGGGGCCCAGGCGCUGAGGCACCCCAGGCCCAGCUCAGGUCCAAGGGGACAUCUUGAAUGUGUUUAAAACUGUCUGAGACUGAGUCCCUGGUCAGCCCCUGCUGACCAUCGUGUGCACACGCUGAGGUGGCCCCGGACCAGAAGGUGUGAAGGAACUAAAGUUUCCUUUUUGGACUUGACCAGGUGCUUCUCGAAACACCCCCGACACCUGCCAUCUGUUUGGAAACUCCGGGGCGGCCGACAGAAAAGCCUGGCCAGGCGGGGUGCUGGUAAGAUUUAUAACUUGCCAAGGAGCCCAGUGGCCUCCUCCUGGCCCCACAGGUGACUGCAAACUCCUCAGACUCAGGUGAGGCCAUGCUGGUGGCUGCACAGUGCUCAGAGGUGGCUCAUCCUGAGCCCCAAGGAGCUCCAUUCACAGGCUGAGGUGGAACCCUGCGCGGCCCGGCCCCCGCUCGCCUGGCUGUGGGUGACAAUCCAUGUGUCCUCUCACUGUCGGUUCUCCUCAGGCAACCCUGCCUCUUCUCAGCAGGCAGGAAACACUCCCCAAACUGAAUCGCUGAGCCCAAGAUGGAGGAAUUCAGAUAAAGAAACUGAGCCCCAGAGAGGUAAAGUGACUUGCCCAGGGUCACACAGCUCAUCAGUGGCAUUGACUGGAACCAGGACCCUGGUUUCCUGAGCCUAAGUCCACAGCUGCGUCUACCUUUGCUCUGAUUCAGCCAGUCCCGAGACCUGGCGUCACAAAGCCCCAGAGAAUGCCAGUGCUCUCUCUAGGCUUCAGUCAGCAAGCAUCCGUGGGCAGUUCAAGCUCUGGCUGCAGAACCAGGGGUCAGCACUCCUCACCCCACCCCGACCUGGCUCCAAGGGAUAAGCCCGUCACCCUCCUGGCCCCAGCUCGGGAAAGGAGGGGUUAUGCAGGGAGUUUUCGCUGCCCCCGACCCCGCACCAGCCCCUCCGCCCACCGCAAUCAACUGCAUUUGUAGCCACCCUCUUAGGGGAAGUAUAGGGUCUCUGGUCUUGGGAAGAAAACCAGACUUUCCAGAGCUGGGGUCAGGCAGUUGCAUGAGAUACAUGCGAAGAGGGAACUGGCAGGAGACAGCCAGGCUUCCUCGCAGCUGCCCAGGGACGCGGUGCUCGGGCCAGGCAGACAAGGGGGCCAGAACUGCCUGAGUCCCUCCCGGCUUUGGAUUCAGCGUGGUCUGGGGCCGAACACCCACGGCGGCAGGGGGCGUGAAGACUAAGUGGAUGAUAUGGUGAAAAACAGCUCACUACAGAAUCCUCCAGCUAUCCACAGGCUCCCUCCUUUGGGUCUUUCUGCAAAUGCCCACCUCUGCCCACCUGUCCCAAAGUCGCCCCCCAGUACUCUCCAACCGCUUUUGCUUUCUCUCUCUCCGGAGUGCUCGUCUCCGUCGGACACAUUUUCAGCUUAUCUUCGCAGCAAGAUCAACCCCAGCUUGCUUCUCCGCAAGCUCGGAGAGUCCUCACAACUCUGAUGCAGCCACUCCAAGCCCCAGACCUGUUGGGCCAUUUUGUGUCCCUUACCCUGGUGGGCUCCAAACCAGUGCUUCUCAAACUUAAACAUGCAGAGUGAUCGCCAGGGGGGUCUUGUUAAAUACAGAAAUGAAACCGGCAGGGCUGGAUGGGGAUUUGGAAUGCUUUCCCAGGUGAUGCUGAUGCAGAAUUUAGCCUAAGGGCUAAUUAAUGUUCUUUCCAUUCUCCUUUCCUCUCCCCGUCUCCGCCUGUCCACCCUGACCCUUUACUCACUCGCUCUCUGUCCCCGUCUCUCUCCCUCUGUCUCUCCCCUGCCCUCUCUCUUCCCUUCUCUCGCUGGUGUCCCCUCCUACGCCAUUCUCAUCUCUUCCUUUCCUUUCCCACUCCUGCCCUUCCAUUAGCUACACCAGGAGUUAACUGGCACCCUCAGGCAUUGUCCCAACCUGCUGGGCUAAAAGGUCAUAACCUCUGAUUCUAGGGGGAUUCCAGAGAAGGUGCCAGGCUCCCUAUUUGCAGAAGCAACAUUAAACCAGGAGACCCCCGAACUUAGCUAUUCAGGGCUGGGCUCAUCACAUUCCCUUCUUAAUAACCGCAUAAUGACUCCUAUUAACAGCCCAUCAAAGGCAAUUACUCCUCUGGAGGAACAAAGGCUCCCGCAAGCCAUUUCUCUCUCCAUUUGUAGCAAACGCUCUCCUUCCACACCUGCAUCCUGACCACCCCCUCCACCCCGCUUCUGAGGGCAAAUCUUACAGAUUUGUCUGCCUCCUCCUGGCUUCUCUCCAGCGGCCGCUCAGCUGACAGUUCCUCACCAUCCUGUCCCCGGGACGGCUGGGGACCUGGGGCAAUCUUCAGAGUCCUUCCCUCCUUCCACGCCUGAGGGCAGGUUACAGGGGGCACAGAGAGUCAUUAGGAACAGACACAAUGUGUCCUGCAGAAACUCUCAGAAGCUCCAUGUUUACAAGCAUAUUAAGCAGCGUAGACCGUAAAGUGGGGAAACGGAAAUUACCUCCACGACCAUCCCCGUCAAAUAGAACCCAGUGGGCCACCAAGCAAUUAAGUGGGUCCAAAACAAUAAUAAGCGCUUAUAUUGAACUUGACUUACUGUGCGCCCACCCCCACACUGAGCACUUUACACAUACGACCUAAUUUAACGUCACAACAACCCUGUGACAAUUGUUAUCCCCGUUUCUCAGCUAAGGAAACCAAAGCAUGGGUAUCAUUAACCUAUUUUUGCCCCAAACUGAAUUUCACUCCACAGCAACCAAUCUCUAAUCUUUAAGCAAAUUUUAGGGUUUUUUUUUUUAAGUAUAGACCAUGGCCAGUAAAACAAAAGCUUCUAGAAAGUAAUUAUGAGAACACCUUCAUGAGCUUGGGGUAGGCACAGAUUUCACAAACACAGAAAGUGGAAGUGUGCAGGCUUGAGAACCAGCAGUGGGUGUUGUUACCCACCUACUCUGUGCGUCUUCUGUCCUGGUGCACGAGAAGGGAGGAGGGCAGUGCACAGAAGCCGCUCGGCGUAUGAAGCCCCACUUUAUGUUUCAGUUUGAAACUGCUUUUGGAAAAGAGAAAGUUGUAAACUCAAGGAAGGGGGAACUCUCCCCUCCCAGUGCCAUUCCCAAACCAGGCCUGAUCAUCUGGGGUGAUGGACACCAGGGGGCGCCCUUCAGUCAACGCGCCCAGCCCUGGCCAGCAGCUCUCUCUGGCUGGACUAAAUCAGGCAGCUUGUUUCCCGCUGUCCCCAUCCCAGCUUGUCUCUGGCUGCGGGGUGACAAAGAUCAGAAUUUCCUGGAGAGGUCAGCAGCUCUGAGGAGGAGAGGCUGAGGGCCUCUCCCUUUGUGCUCACGCCGGCCUGUGGGGAGCCCCUGCCCCAUGUGACUGACAGUACAACUGAGGUUCGGGGAAAAUAAAACGACCUGCCUGAGGCCUCUCAGCAAGUGAAGAGAGAAACCCAGCCCAGGCCUGGUGCCCGGAGGCCCCUCCUGCCGCCUCCAUCCACCUCCUGCCUGCCCAGCUACUACUGCACUGUCACCUGCUCGCGGGCAACUCUUUGGAUCCCAGCUGCCAAGAGGCUCUUUGGGAGCAUCAGUAUAUCAUCUACAGACUUAAGUGUGGGCAAAUAUGUGGACCUGGGGUGAGGGUGGGGGGUGGGCAGUGAAGGGGACCAAAAUCUGCCACCCCAAAAUCUGCCACUUUGGCAUAAGGAUUACU